rnacentral:rRNA from 1 species
GUGAGGAAUUUUCCGCAAUGGGCGAAAGCCUGACGGAGCAAUGCCGCGUGAAGGAUGAAGGCCUAUGGGUUGUAAACUUCUUUUCUCAGAAAAGAAUUAUGACGGUAUCUGAGGAAUAAGCAUCGGCUAACUCUGUGCCAGCAGCCGCGGUAAGACAGAGGAUGCAAGCGUUAUCCGGAAUGAUUGGGCGUAAAGCGUCUGUAGGUUGUUUAAAAAGUAUUCUGUCAAAGAUUAGGGCUUAACCCUAGAUAGGAAGAAUAAACUUUUAAGCUAGAGUUUGGUAGAGGCAGAGGGAAUUCCCGGGGGAGCGGUGAAAUGCGUAGAUAUCGGGAGGAACACCAAAGGCGAAGGCACUCUGCUGGGCCAAUACUAACACUGAGAGACGAAAGCGAGGGGAGCAAAUGGGAUUAGAAACCCUAGUAGCC